UGGUGCCAGCAGCCGCGGUAAUUCCAGCUCCAAUAGCGUAUAUUAAAGUUGUUGCGGUUAAAAAGCUCGUAGUUGGUUCUGCGUGCCGCGCUGUCGGUUCGCCGCCUGUCGGUGUAACUGGCAUGUCGCGGCAUGUCCUGUCGGUGGUGAACGGAGUCCACGACGCUACAUGGGCUUUAUAGUCGAUGUUAGCAUCGUGUGUACUUCCGUUGGCCGAUCUCUCCUACUUCGGUGCUCUUAAACGAGUGUCGAGGUAGGCCGACACGUUCACUUUGAACAAAUUAGAGUGCUUAAAGCAGGCUGAAAUAUCUGCCUGAAUAGUGGUGCAUGGAAUGAUAAAACAGGACCUCGGUUCUAUUUUGUUGGUUUUAGGAAUAUGAGGUAAUGAUCAAUGUGGACUGGCGGGGGCAUUCGUAUUGCGACGUUAGAGGUGAAAUUCUUGGAUCGUCGCAAGACGCACUAGAGCGAAAGCAUUUGCCAAGUAUGUCUUAAUUGAUCAAGAACGAAAGUUAGAGGUUCGAAGGCGAUCAGAUACCGCCCUAGUUCUAACCAUAAACGAUGCCAGCCAGCGAUCCGCCGAUGUUCCUUUAAUGACUCGGCGGGGAG
rnacentral:rRNA from 1 species